rnacentral:rRNA from 1 species
CACCGCCCGUCACACCAUGGAAGCCAGCAGUACCGGAAGUCGGUGCGUUAACCCGCAAGGGAGAUAGCCGCCUAUGGUAUGACUGGUGACUGGGGUGAAGUCGUAACAAGGUACCC